rnacentral:misc_RNA from 1 species
CUGGCAACUUACAUUGCUGUAGUUGGUUUUGGAAUGAUUAGAUUCAAUUCAUGUUCCUCUUGAUUUGCAAGGAUAUCCAAAGAAAUUAUGGAGUUUUUAACAAUAAAUGCACAAAAGGGUUCAGCCGAUAGACUGAACUACUAAGACAAAGCUUAAAAGAAGGAUUAGUGGUUAGGGCCACUAGCUACUCGAAAAGCGCCGUGGAUAUAGUUGGAUAGCGGAUUUCUGUCUAAUACUAGCUUUCAUUUUGGAUUGUGUCUUGCUGCAGCCUUGACGAGUAUAAGAGUAUCAGACUCUCUAUUUGGAAGAAAUACUGUAUAAAGUCUACACUUUGAAACAUCGGAUCGAUUUAAUGGUGUCUGGCGAAUGUUCUGCCUGGAGAGAAACCACGCUAUUAUAAUUAGACCACUGCGGUGUUGGUUGACCGUCUUGGAUAGGGCCAGCAUUCGUAUUAAAUGUGCAAAUGUCUUUAUAAAAGAAAAGCGACAAUAAUAAUUCUGAGAGCUCUGCGAUUGGUGCCAAGUUAGUCAUAUAAAGUAAUUCUAUUGGAUAAAAAUGAAUAUGCCCACGUGCCGGGAAAUGGACUGCUUAAAUGUACACACGACAGUAGAGUUAUUAGGAAAGAAAUAGAUUCCCGGUAACAAGCUAUUAAACAUUAUGAGCAACAUUUCUACAAUGGAAAUAAAUUCAAUGUUCACCGUGGAUUAUUUUACACACACUUCUGGAUAGUAUACCCCACACACAGUACAAAUUUCCGGACGAAGGCGUAUUACUGGAAUUAUUAAAGUCGGAGGCCUAUUUAUUUAUAUAAUAGAAUAGAAUAAAAUGAGGUUGUUACAUUCUAGUUGUACUGGUUAAAAAGAUAACGUACAAAAAGUGAGUAUGCUUGCGGCUAUUACGUCCGGCCUAGACUUGAACCUUGCAACAACGGGUCCGACAUACAUGAACACAGGUCCCACUGCGGCAGCUGAGAUGCCUCCAAUUAAAGACACAGUGACCAAAGAUGACAAUUUGGGUCAUUUUGGAUUCACAAAUCGAUUUGAACAAUUGAUUAACAAAAACACAAAGAGACAUAGACGUUCUGAUACGGCACCGUAUCAUGGAUAUCUUUGCUCCGCACACCAGGGGCAAAUAUUAACAAUAUUUCAGAACGGAACAGUUGGAGGAACACCAAUGAAGAAUCCGUACUCACCAUAUGCUAGAAUAAUAUUUGAACAUAUUGUAAUACCAUCCAUGUUGCUGUCUACGUUUGUGCCAACAAAGCCAUCCAACGGUGCAAAAAUUCCAUCUUCAAAUUGCAAUUACACGAAACUACCACUGUUUCAGUUAAAAGGCGAGAAGAGCAAAUUUUACGUGUGUAUGAAUCACAAAGGAAACUUAUAUUCAUCACGAAAUCCAGAUGAUCUGUCUGAAUGUAGAUUCAUGAGAGAGUAUCUAAGAAAUCGUUUUGUGACAUUUAAAAGUUGUAAAUAUCCAGAAGACAGGUCUACGGAUUACCUUAUAGCAUUGCGGAGAGACGGUAAAACAUAUUCUGGAUCCAAUCACAGACUGACAAAUAGUACCUCUGUACAUAAUUCAGCGUGGUUCCUUGAAAGUAUACUUAAGAAAAAUAGCGAAUUUGACGCUAAUCCUUUAAUAAAUGUAUUUAAGAAUCUAAAAGGCACAACCCCAAAACCAAUAGAACCAACCAAAAAAACAAUAGAACCCAGCAAAAAAGACAGAAAGGGUUGUAAGGAAAAGAUUAGACAUAGCAGAAAAUGCAGAAAAGAUAAAAGUAGGACUAAGAAAUGUAAACAUCAAAAACGUAUGGAAAGGAAGUGUAAAGGACGUAAAAAAGGAAAGGUACGUAAAAACAGAGAGAGAAAUCAUAAUAAAGGUAAAGGUAAUAAAAAGAAAAACAGAAAGAAUAGAAAGAACAGGAGACGACAAAGGCGAACAAGUACAACAACCGCAACAGUGACCAGAUCAUAGCAAUAAUCCCGUGUAAUAUAGAGUAAAGUAGAACAUUCUAGAAAUUUCAGGAUUACAUUUGAAAAUUCUUAGAACGUUCAUAUAAAUGAAAUAAUAUACAACGAAUCAGAUCUGAAACUGUUAAACAGUUACAACAUCCCAAAAUACAAUAAAAAUGAUGCAUGGAAAGUCAUGAAAUGACAGACAGUGUUUAAGCCAGUCUGACGAUGCCAGUCUGUGAUGGCACAAUAAAACUGCAUGUCGAAAAAACAUAUACACUGGCUUUGCUUUCACUACUUAAGGUCUCUGAUGCAUCAUGGAAUAUACAACACAUGGGACACUACACUGAUGCCAAAGUAAUUAUAUUGAGUGCCUACAAGACUUAUAUAUAAUACAUAGUAGUAGACACAUGUAUUUAACUUAUUGCAUAUUUAUUACAUUGUACAUUUGGUGUCAGAGCCACUAUACAUAUUAAAGAAUAAUAAGUGAUUAUCACAUUCUCUUGCCAUUCUCAGUUCAAC